CUGGCCUGAAAAGAAGUGUACUGCUCACAGCACUAUUUGCCAUCCAUCUGGAUGCUGCAGGUGCACAAGGCUGGUGGAAAUUCUGCAGUGUGCUCGAGUCCUGGUGCACCUGCUGCUAGACCUGUCUGUAAGCCCUGGCAUCUCCUGCACAGGAGUGUGAAGAAUGACUGAAGCGUUAAAUAGGGAUGUGGGUGUCAGCACCCAGAACAGAAGCAGGUCAGGGGAUGAUGCUGUUGAGCUGCUGUGGGCAAAAUGUGGCAGAUAGGG